rnacentral:rRNA from 1 species
GCCGCCUCUUCGCUACGCCCCGUGCCGUGCGGGCCGUCGGUGUCCGUCCUGCGGCGCUGCUGCGCUCGUCACUGCUUGCGCUCACGGGCGCACGCGAGGCAGCGAGAGGGGAGGACAGCAGUAGAUCGCGGCACCGAGGAUGGUGGAGGCCGGGGGGUGACUACUUUUCCGGGCGCCGGGCGGCUCGUGACCCCGUCGUCGAUCACUCACCGGACGGCGGCAAGCAGGCAGGCGCGCAGUGGUGUAGCCCCUCGAGCGCCAGCCACUGCUGCCGCUCCUCCGGCGGCACCGGCGGUCUUUCCAAGACUAAAGACUUCUCGUGGUCUAGGUGAGAGGAGCCGUCGUCACGUAAGCUCUAAUGUGACUACCCCAAGGAGUGUUCAAGAACCUAAUACUUGAACACGCCCUCGGGUCAUACGAGGUUGGUUCUACAUGAAAGUACACGUAAGUUGCCUUAUAAGCUGAGAAGGUGAACGUGCUUAGUAGACCACCGCUAACCGUAGCCGUACGACGAGUAUGAACACGAGUGUGAGGUAAAUGAACAGGUUUAAGGCUUCUCGUCUCGUAGAUACGCCGUUGAGAAGUGUGAGUCAAGUGGUGAUGUCACCGACGUCAUAACAAGUCACCGACGAACCCAAACCAAAUAGAACCGGAUCCUGAGAGCUACGACCUGUUGUAGCAGUUAGUCCUACGAAGACAAAUGGGCGGUGUGACCACCGAACACUGUAAUAGAGUUCCUAAGUUAAACUAGACAAGGUCGAAACGAAAGUCGUAGUCCGGAGCCAAAGAACCUCGACGUAAACAAUUUGAAAAAAGACAAAACCACUGGUGCAUACGUCGUAAGUAUCCAACAAGGAGUCACCAACCGUAACAACGUUUCUUCCGUUAAUGGUAAUUCCGAACGAACCUACAAGACAGGGAUGGUCUACGUAAAGAGGAAAAUGAAAUACCGCAAGCCACGUCGGUACUGCUUCUCCCAAUGGUUCCUUUACCUUUACGAAAUAUGUUCGGGGACUUGCGGCUCCGUCUACCACUCUACCGACUAAGACUGUCAGUUCACUGAGAAAAACGGUUUCGACCAAAAAAGUCGUUCUACAGUAAGACCACCAAUUUAGUAAACUACUUCUACCCAAUGUUCUUCGGAGAGCUCCUGUUUCUACACGGCGAAAAUGUUUGGUGUCUGGAUCGUGUAUUGGUCAUGAACUAUAAGAACCGCUUCGACUUGUCGUUCGUCAGGGUCAGUUUACGGUGUGGUAGUGAGAACACCUGGUAACAAAGAACAGUGUUCGCACCCUAGUACCAGAGUCCAAAGAAACGAAACGAGUUCCACGAGUGGAAUAGAUAUCCGGGUAACGAAGAGUUCCGUAAGUAGUUACAUAGUCAACCCUUUCCCUGGAAGUUUAUACUUCCGAAACACGACCGACGCUGUAACAAGUAAACGUUUACAACACUUAGAAACAGUCUCUCCGUCACCAUAAAGGCAUGAGCCUCUAAUCCUGAGGUUCACUCCAGUAACGAUAGUCGUCGAUAAAUAUUCUUCGUUGUCUUCGAUAGUUUGAGGCGUUUUUACGUCGUGAGAAGACCUGUCUAAUACUUGAUACACUGUCAACUACGGAUGGCCCAACCCCUUAAGGGCAUGACCAAGGUGGUUUGCACCUGUUGUUGAUAAGUUGAAACGUAACGAGACCGUUAAGACAUGUUACGUCAACCACGACGUCGCCAGAGUAGCAAUCGACAAUAGUAAUAGUGGCAUCAACCAUUACGAGGUAACCGCUUUGAUGUCUUGUUUAAAGUCUCAUUCGAAUACCUUCGUGUUCUACACUCUAACUUCCGGUACAGACUCAGUAAUCAAGUAUACUUCUAGAACUUCGAAAUACGUACCCUUCGAGUGAAGUUCUUCCAGUAGCUCCCCAACUCCCUCCAACUCAUAUUCACCAACAGUCGUAAGAACGAAUCCUCCCGUAUGUUGUCAUAGCACAAGACCAGUAGUGGACAAAAUCAAAGUCGCCGUUGGAAAGAUUGUACGAUAGAAAACUUUUAGGGAGAACUGCGAUCGUUGCAGAAGUGGUGACAUCGUUGAGACGCAGAACACGUCCUCGGUCAAUCUAGUUAUGGUUAACAAUAGCGUCAACGUUAUGUUCGAUUCCAACGAAAGUGAGCCUAUAGUUUCAAGGAACUACGUGCACUCGACUUACCCGUUCAAUCCUUCUUUAUGGCACACCCGUGGCUAAUAGGUUAUCGCUACUUGAGUACGUCAAAGAGGACCCUACUCUUAGGUAGUUUUGGUUGAGAUUUGUUAUAUUUAGACCAACAGUUUCGACCUCUUUUCUAACGUUAAACACCUCUCCAUCCUAGUCCUUUUAGUUGUGAAAACCGACGACAUGAGCCUCUCCAGGGGUUUUGACUUCCGUGCUAAGUUCAGACACCUUCUUAUCGUAUACAAAGAGUCUGACGUACCUAGGUUUGUCCUUGAUAUGUUCUAUUAUAGGAGAAACCUAGAAACUACCUGUCUGUUUACAUGGUUCUUUGUGAACGUUCCACGAGCAACGAGUUCCUGGAACUUUACGACGGUAAGCCGCUAGAAUGAGUUUAACCCCUCUCUCCUUAUUUAGAGUCACCACCAGUCUUCGUCGCACAAGUCGAACGAGCACGUAAUAUGGUCUUACGGCUGUAGAUAGAAGAACUACUGGGAAAGUCACGACAGCUACGGGUAUGUCGUUGUUCAGAGAAAUUACUAAUACAGUACCCAUAAGACAGUCUGUUCUGACAAGAAAACCACUGGGUGGUUCACCUAAAAGAUGGACCUAAACUGAGGUAAGACAAUUACAGUCUACCCCACCAAUAAGCCAGACGUAGAAUAGUGCUAAAUAACAGUCUAACGGUUCUUAAAUUUAUAGAACAUUUACGGGUAUUUCUAUGAUGACCACAAAGUCUAGAAUUGUUAUACCGGGUAGUGUCUCGUUUCCUAAACGGUUAUUUCCUCUGUCUACCAUAAGUACCUUUGUCUAUAUAUCUCAGACACUUCGGUAGUGGUCAUCUAGUUGACUAGUUUUGUCUCCUUUCUCUUAGUCCCCUGCGUCCAGAAUUCGGAAUAUAGGAUAUGGACGCGGUCUUUUUUCCGAAGGACAUACGGAGGGAAAGACAGUACAGAGUGUAUUAAAAGUAUCGACCCGUUUAUAGUGUCUUAAGUACCUACCGGCGAUUACAGGUUUUAGGACUACAAUCACGUGACUUCAAUUAAAGACACAUGUAACAAUAACCUCAAACGUGCCACAAGAAACACGAUAGUUCUAGAUAUAAGAAGCAACAAGAACCCUACGUCUGAAGUUCUAGGAAUAAAAGGGUCGAUGAAUUAAGUAACAAGGCACGUGGUUACAGGAAGAAACUAAGAUGAGGAGAUCCGUCCCAAGAAUCGGCCCAGAGAAGUCUAAAUUCGUAGUAACUGGAACUACAAGGUAAACGUAACUACAAACCGAAAUCAAGGUCGAAUUUACGCAUAUCGUUAGACCCCCAUAACCGACAACAAUGUACCGUUCAAGACAAACAUAGUAACGGUUACUAUCAAAACCGUUAAGCCAAUGUCUCCAUGAUGAAUCGGAGCCGAUUCCUUAACUACGCAUAGUUACCGUGAUGGUUCAGACGAGAUCAUUUAGUGAAUCCACUUAGCUAGAGUCCCCGAUAUUGUUAUGCACGGAAACUCCUUCUUCCAGCAAAGAAACGAUUUUUAGACCUCAAUCAACUGUUCUUACGACCAGGCAUGAAAAAAUUAAAACGUCGUUGACUUACCAACUAAGUUGCAGACCUUUAUUACUCACGACGCCAAGAAAGAAGAAGACGAAAACAGUACCGAGAAGAAGGACGUCCUUGAAAAUCGGGACCAAAACAACCUUACCGUAACAGGAUGCCGGAAAGGGAUUUAUUAAGGAAACAAUCGAGAUAAGUUUUCGUUACACUGGAACGUUUGUUUUAUUAUAGACACCUUGCCCACUUGGUCAUGUACCUGUAAGGCUCACUUCGUCGUCUUCAAUAACUUCUUUUGGCUGGUCGUGGUCUAACCGGGGUCCAACCGUCACACCUCGAAUUUCUAAACUUCUAAUCCAUAUACCUUCUAUGAGGGAACAUGAUGUACCUUAGUGAACGUUCAAAGUUCCAUCUCUAUUUUAACCAUAUCAACCAGCUUGUCCUUCACCGUUCUGUUGAAAUUAACCACGUAACAAAGUGGAACAACUUGGACGACUUCCCCUAUAUUAAUAUCUGAGACACUUGUAGUCAUUUUAUCCGAAUGUACUGGACGCAAGUGCAAACCCGUAGUAAGGUGUUCUAGGUUGUGAAAAAGUCCCAUGUCAUUCUAUAUUAGAUCUAGGGGAACCCGUCAAGAAUCUAGUUGAUUAUACCCUC